rnacentral:lncRNA from 1 species
AUGUGGAUAUUAUCCCGUCAGCAGAGGGACAGUGAAUGGGAGUCCUGUCGCGAAUCGGGGGAAACGGAUACUUUAGGGAAAGCACGAGCCACUUCCGUGUUUUCCUGCUUCUUCACAUCUGGACAUGUUAAUCAUCUCACUUGCGCUUCAGAGGAACAUGCUGCUGGAAAACAGGAGCUUGAGGUUCUUCGCUGGUUUGCUGGUUCUCCUUCAGUCCAGUUCAUAUGUGACCGGAGCUGAUCAUGAUUCCAGACCCAACUUCGUCCUGAUGAUGGUGGACGAUCUGGGCAUUGGAGACAUCGGUUGCUAUGGAAACGACACCAUCAGGUGAAUCACUGACACCUAAAAUAAUAAUUGAUUUUAACAUGAAGAUCCUGUUACCCUCGUGUUGUUUCAGACCCGUAUUGAACAUGAAAGGAGAAUUUCUGAAGAAACUUCAUGCAACUAGAGAUUUCUACAAAUAUAUAUAUUUUUUAUUAUUAUUAUUAUUAUAUUUUUUUUUUGGUGCAAGUGCCAAAUUACCUUUAAGGAAAACUGGUUAUUAAGUACAGUUAUAUUGUUGCUUUUCGACAAAAUAAAAACCGCCAAAUAAUUAGAUUUUAAAAAUUAAGUAAUAUGCAUUAUGCAUAUUUUAGUGUCAUAUUAAUAAAAUGCAAUGUGUUGCUUUUCAUGCAACUCUUUUCUAGAAAACAACAUUUAUAGUUUUUUAUGGAUGCAGAGCAUUUUUAAGUUAAGGAAAUAAGCUAUUAAAUAUAGUUUUAUUUUUGCUUUUUGACAAAAUAAUAAAUGUAAAUUAAUUAGAUUGAUAAAUUUAAAAAUGACAAAUUCUGAUUAUAAUACUAAUAAAAUACAAUAGAAUAAAUUGCUGUAAAAAUUGAAUAAUUGUGCAAACAAUAAUCAAGACAUUUACUGGAGAAGCACAAUGACUUAAAGUCUUGAACAUCUUUGAAAAUUGUAAAUUUUAAAAAAAUAGUGAGUCUUAUAGUAUCUGCAUAUGGAGUCAGAAAUAUAAAUAGUAUCUAAUCCAAUAUAUCUUUGAAUAUCAUUUUUUUUUUUUGUACAAUAUAUGUGUGGGCAGUUUUUGUCAAUAACACUACAAAAAAAAUAAAAAAUAAUAAUAAUAAUUCAUGCUCUUCCUCAGUAUUUCUGUCUUGUUUUCCAGUACAAAGCUUAAACAUUUUUAAAUCAAGACAUUUACUGGAGAAGCACAAUGACUUAAAGUCUUGAACAUCUUUGAAAAUUGUAAUUUUAAAAAAAAUUAAGUGAGUCUUAUAGUAUCUGCAUAUGGAGUCAGAAAUAUAAAUGUAUCAUUUUUCGCAUUUGUUCUUAUUUUAAGCAAAAACUCACUUCAUUUUGAUACUUUUUUUCAGAAAACAAGACUCAGUUUCUUAAUGUGAUUUUCCUUCUCCAGUAAAUGUGUCUUGAUUUGAAAAUGUUUAAAUAUUUGUACCAGAAAACAAGACAAAAACAUUGAGGAAGAACUUUUUUUUUUUGUAGUCUGUCUGUCCAAAAAAGACAAAAACUGCCCAAAAAUAUAAGAAAAAAAAAUUAGAAAUGCGUUAUAUAUAUAUUGGAUAUAGGUUCAUAAAAUAAUAUUAUAUUAUAUCCAGCAGUAAGAGUAUACACUGAAAUUAAAUAUUUUUAUGCAAUAUUCAUGCAAAAUUCACUAAAAUACUUAAGAACUGACAUAAGAUAAAGACACUUUCACACUAAGCAAGACAGCUAUUCAUUUUUUAUAUAUUUUUAAAUUAAUAGUAAGUCCACAAUGAUAACGACAACUGAAUGAAUGAAGGAUAAAAACACUGACAGUGAAUCAGAAUCCUCCGAC